GGUCUACUCCAGGCAUCACGGUCCCUUGAGAAGAUUGCGAAUUUUGCUUCAUAUUAACUUCAUUGAGAUGGCAAAAUACAUCCCAGUCUUCUUCCUUGUGGCGAUGAUCGUCCACUCGCUUCUGGCGCAUCCUCUGAAUUUGGAUGAACUUGUACCCACGGGUACGAACUCUCAGGAAAGUUCGAUUAUAAGUCAACAAGGUUCAACAGAUAACCCGUUGGAAUCGGAUACCGAAAAUGAAAACGAAGUUGACCUAAACGACGUCAUAAUUUCGUUGAAUGGAACUGAUAAUGACGUCACAGGAGCAAUUCGUCCCCUACUGCCGAUCAUAAUACAAGGGGCAAGGAAAAUUGGGGGGCCAGUAAUACGAGGGGGAAAGAAAAUUGUGGAGGCAGCAAUCCAAAAAUAUGUUAUAGACGUACUUCUAGGGGGCCCUAAAAAGCCUGCGACGAAAGUGCAGAGAAAAGUGAAAAAAUCCGUCAAGAAACCCGUUGGCUAAAAUAUAUGUUCUCUAAAAUAAUAAUGAGUUGCUGAUGAACUGGAAGGACUUCGCUGCUAAUUGACCCGUGGAGCCGUCAAACAUCUGCUUGGAAAGUCAACUAAU
rnacentral:lncRNA from 1 species